CUUUGGAAUAUUACUAAUUUUGUGAUGCUCUUUCAAGCUGUGAUGAAAUUUUUGUCUAGUCUUGUUUAGAUCAAAAUUUGAUCUAUAAUGCAAAUGGUCCAUUAUUCUCUAUUUUGUAACCAUGGUUCUCUUUUCAAGCAUGACAAGUCAUCUCAAUUAACGGUUACAAGUGAAUUCUCUCCUCUGGCUGUUUCUUCUUGAAAACUUGAACUGUGUCCAAGGACAGAAUUUCUUCGACUUGUGGUGUCUGGUAUUUGCAUAGGAGCAAUUCGUGCCAGUCCUUUCUUAAAGAUCUUCUCAAACGCGGUCUUGAACUGUCGAUGACGUAGCGAGUAGAGGAUUGGGUUGACUGCACUGAAAUAUAAUGUUACACAAU
rnacentral:lncRNA from 1 species